GGGCUCGUAGCUCAGUUGGUCAGAGCAGGGGACUCAUAAUCCCUUGGUCGUCGGUUCAAGUCCGACCGAGCCCACCA
rnacentral:tRNA from 1 species